UAUCUGUUCUCAUGGCAGGGGGAUUUGCAGAGCUGUUGCUGAACAAUAGCUCUCAGGGUAUGAAAGGCUUGCUCGGAAGUUACCCCCUUUUAAGCACGUUAAGUGCUACUUUCUGAAUACUGAGCCAAUGACCAGUGCUCAAAGCACUCAGUCUCCCUGGUCCUAGAGUGGAAGAAGACAUUCUGUACAGCCAUACAGACAGCACAGCCACUGAGCUAAAGUGGAGACAGGAACAAAUCCAGGGGGAAAAAAAAAAGGCUAUAACCCAGCUCUCUACAGCAGUGCACUGAAAAGUGAUGUGUGAUGUGAAGCAAGGUGAGGGGAAUCAUGUUCACUUCACCACAGACACUAAAGAUCCAGCUGUUACCAGGACUGCAAGCAUUCCUGUUUGUUUUUGGAAGAAGCCUGUGUGGUUGUGUCAAAGCCCAGACUAUGCACAAAAUCCCCACUGGUCACUGUGAAGAACACCACGA